AUACUUACCUGGAUGGGGUGAAUGGGUGAUCAAGAAGGCCCAUGGCCUCCGUUGGUGACCUCCAUUUUACUUUUGGAGGGCUGCCACCCUAAGGUCUUCCCAAAUGGGAGAGCCGACGUCACUAUUUGUUGCAGUUGGGGCCUGCGUUCUCGUGGCCUAGU